rnacentral:rRNA from 1 species
CCUACGGGUGGCAGCAGUGGGGAAUAUUGGGCAAUGGGCGCAAGCCUGACCCAGCAACGCCGCGUGAAGGAAGAAGGCUUUCGGGUUGUAAACUUCUUUUGUCAGGGACGAAGCAAGUGACGGUACCUGACGAAUAAGCCACGGCUAACUACGUGCCAGCAGCCGCGGUAAUACGUAGGUGGCAAGCGUUAUUCUGAUUUAUUGGGUGUAAAGGGCGUGUAGGCGGGAAUGCAAGUCAGAUGUGAAAACUAUGGGCUCAACCCAUAGCCUGCAUUUGACACUGUAUUUCUUGGGUGCUGGAGAGGCAAUCGGAAUUCCGUGGGUAGCGGUGAAAUGCGUAGAUAUACGGAGGAACACCAGUGGCGAAGGCGGAUUGCUGGACAGUAACUGACGCUGAGGCGCGAAAGCGUGGGGAGCAAACAGGAUUAGAUACCCAUGUAGUC